rnacentral:rRNA from 1 species
GAUCCUGGCUCAGGAUGAACGCUGGCGGCGUGCUUAACACAUGCAAGUCGAACGAUGAACCUCACUUGUGGGGGGAUUAGUGGCGAACGGGUGAGUAACACGUGAGUAACCUGCCCUUGACUCUGGGAUAAGCCUGGGAAACCGGGUCUAAUACUGGAUACGACCUUCUGGCGCAUGCCAUGUUGGUGGAAAGCUUUUGUGGUUUUGGAUGGACUCGCGGCCUAUCAGCUUGUUGGUGGGGUAAUGG